rnacentral:rRNA from 1 species
UACGUAGGGUGCGAGCGUUAAUCGGAAUUACUGGGCGUAAAGCGUGCGCAGGCGGUUUUGUAAGCCAGAUGUGAAAUCCCCGGGCUUAACCUGGGAAUGGCAUUUGGGACUGCAAGGCUGGAGUGCGGCAGAGGAGACUGGAAUUCCUGGUGUAGCAGUGAAAUGCGUAGAUAUCGAGAGGAACACCUGCGGCGAAGGCGGGUAGCUGGGCCGACACUGACGCUGAGGCGCGAAAGCCAGGGGAGCGAACGGG